rnacentral:rRNA from 1 species
UGCAGUCGAACGGGACUGGGGGCAACUCCAGUUCAGUGGCGGACGGGUGCGUAACACGUGAGGAACAUGACUUUCGGUGGGGGAUAGCCGGCCCAACGGCCGGGUAAUACCGCGUACGACCUCUCGGGGACAUCCCCGGUUGGUGAAAGCAGCAAUGCGCCGAAAGAGUGCCUCGCGGCCUAUCAGCUAGUUGGUGGGGUAACGGCCCACCAAGGCGACGACGGGUAGCUGGUCUGAGAGGAUGGCCAGCCACAUUGGGACUGAGACACGGCCCAGACUCCUACGGGAGGCAGCAGUGGGGAAUAUUGCGCAAUGGGCGAAAGCCUGACGCAGCGACGCCGCGUGUGGGAUGACGGCCUUCGGGUUGUAAACCACUGUCGGGAGGGACGAAUGCCCCGCAAGGGGAGUGACGGUACCUCCAAAGGAAGCACCGGCUAACUCCGUGCCAGCAGCCGCGGUAAUACGGAGGGUGCGAGCGUUGUCCGGAAUCACUGGGCGUAAAGGGCGCGUAGGCGGCCUGAUAAGUAGGGGGUGAAAUCCUGCGGCUUAACCGCAGGGCUGCCUUCUAAACUGUCGGGCUAGAGCACGGUAGAGGCAGAUGGAAUUCCCGGUGUAGCGGUGGAAUGCGUAGAGAUCGGGAAGA